UACACAGCGAGCACCUGGCGGGCGCGGGCGAGCGCGCCGACCCGCCGCCGCAGCCGCGCUGAUUGUCGCGCGUCCGCCGCCGCCUCUACCUCACGCCGGAAUAGGUGAGGCACACCACUACUAUACACAGCGAGCACCUGGCGGGCGCGGGCGAGCGCGCCGACCCGCCGCCGCAGCCGCGCUGAUUGUCGCGCGUCCGCCGCCGCCUCUACCUCACGCCGGAAUAGGCCGCCGCGGACGAGCCACAGCCACGCUGCGGACAACGUAGUAUAAGAGUACCAUGACCUCCUAAAUUAUACGCGAGUGAUUCAUUCGGACGGACAGCGGGGCUACUCCGAAAAACGCUAUUCGAAGUUUCGAAUGUUCCAUCCCCCUCACGCAAAGCGAGAUACCAGCAUGAGCGACGGUGACAGACAGACCCGAAACUACGUAAACGGCGUUUCGUAGUUGCCCUGGUACGGACGUGUACUCAGUCUUAAUUAACUGCAAAGGGACAAGGCAAUUUAUUUGUAACACCAUUUAUUUAUUGAUACUUGAAUAUUUGUCAAGAUAAUAACAAUUAGUUUUGUUUAUUUAGUCUACAAUAUCAAUAAGGAGGUCAUUUUGUAUUGAGUAUACUCGCAACUCGAGUAGUAUACAGGAUGAUUAAAUUAGUUAUAUCCAAAUUGAUGGACAUUUCUCGUGUUGUUUGUAACUAGUUCACCCUGUAUAUUAUAGAAGUAGGUUACUUGUGUGUACUUGUUAGAGUUUUAUAAAUCUCCAUGUGCCCCAGUAAUCGUCUAUUUAUAGGUUUUAUAUGUCUUUAUUGUGAAUAGAAUUGGAAUGUUUGUAUAUGUGAAAAAACUUUACCAAAUUGAAAAGGUCGGGAUUCUCUACUCUGGUGGUUUCUAUCGUAGUAUUUUAAAAAUUGCAAGAUUUUAAAAAUUCUUUUUAAAAAACCUGUAUAUUGCAUGGGAGUAACAGAGUUUUCAGACCUUUACAUAAGACCUUAGAGGUGCUAAGAAAAGUAUUAUGAAGUUGGUUCUGAGAAGGGAAGUAAAAUUUAAUUUUAACUAAUCAUAGAUUUUUCCAAUAUAAAGAGAAUUAUGAAGAGAAUUGUUAUUAAUUUGAUCGAGUCUGGAUGUAUGUCUACCUUUCAAGAUAAUGAUACCAUCUAAGUGAAAUUCAUAUCAUUUGACAAUGACAUAUAUUUUACAACACCGUUUUAUUAAACACGCAGUGUACCAUUUCCUUCUCUUGUGUGCUGGUGGAAUAUACUUUAUUUACGUACUGUUGUAUGUAUCAAAUUAUAUUAAAUAAAUAUAUUUUACACUUCAUAUGUAAAUAUGAAUAAUAUCAUUAUAAUUAAACUGAGCAAAUAUUGCAGAUCAUACUUCCAAUAUUGUUGUCGUGAAAACAUAUACAUUUUAUCAUUAUAGAAUACUUGGAAGUGUUAUUAUAUGUAAAAUAAGAAGCCGAUUAGGUUGACGAAAUGAAUUGCAUAGCUUAACACACCUAAUUUCGCUUAAAAUUCAAUGGGAUUACUCCGAAAAACGUUACGCAAAGUUUCGAAUAUUGUCAUCUCUCUCACGCAAAGCGAGAUGCUAGCAUGAGAGACGGUAACAGACUCGAAACUACGUAAUAGCCCUACAGAGCGCCUCCAUUUCGUUCCUGGUUCGCUUCGGUGACCUAAUGGAUAUACAAACUUUUUAUUUGGAUAGCUGAUUUAGGGCUCUGAGAACCUCAUUAAUUUCGAUUUUUAUACAAAAACAGCAGCUUGUAUAAAAAUAACACAACUUUUGUACUUAUGCAUUCGUAAGCUGCCAUCGUCAUGCUGAUUAUGUUUUGGAAUCUAAAUCAAUGUAUAUUUUUCGGAUUUCUGGUGUCGACUAUACAAUAUUAACGUAUACAUAAACGACUGUCGGUGUUGUAUUUGAGUGUAAUUUGUAAUGUAUACCCUCGUGGUGUCUUAACUAUCUCGAAUUAUCUUCUUUAGGACCAUGCUAGUAUCUUUUGGUAUAUUGUAUAUUAACGGAUAGGGUUACAUUCAUUCAAACAUUAAAAGUAGGUAAAGUGUAACCCUCAGAAAGAAUGAAAAAUGUAAUCUACUUUUGUAGUUAACAAAAGAUGCUAUGAACUUUGAUCAGUGAUAUCUUUGAUGUAGGCAACCUGAAGCUAUUAUUGUAUGGCUUGGUUGUACUAGUACUAGUGUGCUUACCAUGAGUUUACGUUUGGUGUGCUCGCUAGCGACUGCGUAAAAAAAUGACAUUAAAUGUAUGACAUAUUGUGCAGCGCCUCUAGCGGCUACUUUCAAGAAAUUAAAUCUUCAUAGAUUUUUUUGACGUAUUCGCUAGCGAGCACACCUAACGUAAACUCAUGGUAAGCACAUAGUAGUAGUGUUGUAGCGUCAUAUCUUGCACUACCUACGGCUACGUACAGAAGGGGGCAGGGAGACAUCUACAUACCUACCUUAAAUAUGUUCUUAAAGUUUAAUGUAUAAGAGUGGGGGACCCUGCCUUAAUUUUGCCCCCAUGGCUCAGACUGUCAAGACAACCCUUGCCUAAGCUGCCCUCUCCCCCCUCUAGCCCAGAAACAAAGGCCAGAAGUGGGCAGCCCCUCUGGCCUAAUAGCUGCACUAUACCGAAUUGAUAUUAUUGAUCAAAGGUAGCUGUUAUCCAAUCAAAAAGAACUCUUAGUGUUAAAGUAUUAUAAAGUGUAAUCGAGUGGGUAUUCAAGUAUUGAUGUCUAUAACGAAAAUAUGUUGUAUUUAUGAGAUUUUUAUUCGUUUUCAAAAUGUCUUGUUGUCUAUAUCGUAUGUAUAGAGUUCUACAUAUCAGAAGGGAAAUUCUUGAAAUAUUUUUUUUGUUUAUCGCAAAAUUUCGUUGUUUAGUAAUUACGUAAUUAUGUGUGGUUUGUAAAAAGGCGUGUAACACGCUCUCGACUAUAAAAAAUAUUUUGUUUUAUAUUUUAUUGGCUACUAUCUAAAAGGUUUACAUUUAUAUUUGCUGUGUUAAGCAUAUUAUAGAAGGGUUCAGUAUGUUCUAAUUGUUAAGUUUAGGUAAAUUAUUGGAUAUUAAAGGGUAUUUAUUGCAUAAAUAUUAUGUGGAUGUUCAGAUUAUUCAUAUGUAUGUAUUAGAGCGUAUUCGUAUGUAGUUUUAAAUAUUGUUGAUGUAAUAGGGAACUAUACUCCUGACUCGGCGCAGAUGGCGCCACUAUGAAACUGUCACGUGACCUUGUUGACGUUGUCACGCCAUCUGUUGAGAAAUCUUAGCAUUUCCCUAUACAUAUUUGUGUGCAUUUUCUACACAUAGUUUAUGCGUUCUAUGUUUUUACUUGAUGUGUUUAGUUUAAUAAUGUGACAAAGGAUAAACAUAUCUAAAAAUGGAAGUACAUUUGACUGGUUACAUUAAAAAUUGCCAAUACUUGCUCCAAAUCUUAGCAUUCCGCUAUUAAGUUGUUUUUAUUUUAAAGUGCCAACUGACAAAUCAUUUAUGUCAUUUCUACUAGCUCAAAAUAGGUAUGUAGAGUCCAUUCUUCAUAGAAUACUAAUUUUUAUACAUAAAGCACUUUCAAUAAAAAAAACUGCCAAUGAUUUUCAUUUUGCCAAUGUCAACUAUAAAGGUGAGCAUAGACUAGCUAGAGCAUUUACUUGUAACAGAACAACGAGCCGCUCCAUGAAAUUUUCUGGUGUCACUUGAAAGUGUCACCAUCUCACAAACCUUGCGUCGUACAUUUUACCUGUAUAGACAAGAACGUUACAUUACAUGGAUAUGCUCUAGUCUCUACUCGCCUUUAGAUAUUGGUCUUCUUUUUUUCUGGCUCUUUUUUUUUCGCGCGGCCAUCGACCAAACCUUGUUUUUUGGUUACAAAAUAGUGUAAUAAACCUAACUUACUAUAACAUGUAUACUUCUAAACUACGAGCAUUAGAAGUUUGAUGAUUUUACAAAAAACAAGGUUUGGUCGAUAGCCGCGCCAAAAAAAAAGACACCACCUUCCAUACAAAAUCUGGCAUUGCCAUUUAUGCUGCUGAGUUAAUUGUCAUUAUUUUACUUCAAUCAUUUAUUUUCUACUGCCGCACAACAUGUAGCUCACACAAAAAUAUCCAUUGCACACAAAUAUGUUUAAACAAUUAUUUUAUUCGUGGACUGUUUUAUGGUAGUCGUAGAAUACAACCAUAACUGCCGUCAGAAUUAUAAACUAUGUAUUUAUUUACUAAGUAAAUUAAUUUGCUUGUAUUUAUUAUUGUUGUUUUAAAAACUCAUUGGUUUCUAUGAUGUCUAUUGCUAGUCUCUUCACCUACAUAAAGUAGGUAUGAAACUGAUUUUACAAUCUCUAAUACUAUCGCUGUAAUGUCUUUUUCAACAGUAAUGGAACAACGGUAAUGGACGGAAAUCUAUUUAAAAUUGGCUAUGUAUCAUUUACAGAUAUAUUUAAUAAUGUAUCGCAACUGAAAUGUUCAAAAGUGUACCUACUGUAUUUGAACUCAGAACCAAUUGGCGCCUGUCACUUGACAGUGACAGGAGCUUCCUUACUAGUGGCGCCAACUGGUGAACAAAUACGAUAAACCUAUUUGUAAGUAUUCGAACUACAGAUAAAAUACAGGGUGACAGGUAAAGCGAUACAUUCCUUGAAAGGGGUUAAAGUAGAGCUUAUUUGCAGUCAUUUAAGUCAUAUGACACCAUGUCCGAAACUUGUUCAUUUCCAAGUUAUUCAAGAUUUAAGUAUUUUUUAAAAAAUCUCCAGUUUUUAUGUUAAAAUGUACCCUUGUAAUGAAGAAUACGGAAUAAUGUUAACUUUUUUGUUGUAUUCGUAUAGCUAAAUAAUAAGAUUGACAUUUUAAAUUAAAAUUUGCAAGAAAGAAUCGUCAUUACUCAAGUAAAAGCUAAAAAACCAUGUAUUAUUUUGCAAAAAAAAUAUGUUUUAGGUAAUUAAACGAAGAAUUUCCAAGAAAAAAUGUAUGGAAUGUUAUGUACAAAUUACAGAAUUUAGUUCCUUGAUUCAUUAGCUAUUCAAAAAGGUACAGGUGUUUAACAAACACUACACAAUUAUUUUUUUAUUUGAAUUUAAACGUCUAGUAAGAUACUUUCAUAAAAAAAUAAAUAAAUAAAAAAGUCACACUAACAACUGUUCUUGGGUCUCAAUAAAUGAAAAACUUAGUAUUUUAAUAAUAAUUGUAUCACCUAAUUUUAUCUAGGUACAUUAUUUUAAGUCCUGCUCAAACUGUGAGCCCCGUCUUCUAAUACAAGCUCGUAGUCUGUUUCUCACUUCUGUUUUUGUGACUCUUGUUGUCAAACUUUGCUGAAUAUCUUGAGCUGCCCUCUGAAUGCGCUCACGAAGCUUUCACACUCACAGCACACUUUCGGCUCAGUGUACGCCAAUGGAUGGAUCAACAAUAUCCACUUCGUUGGAUUGGGCGCGGUGGACCCAUUCCUUGGCCAGCCAGAAGUCCGGAUCUGACCCCUUGCGAUUUUUAUUUAUGGGGUCACAUGAAGUAUCUCUUGUAUGUAACCCCCGUAAACAACGAGCAACAGCUUCGUGAGCGCAUUCAGAGGGCAGCUCAAGAUAUUCAGCAGUUUGACAACAAGAGUCACAAAAACAAAAGUGAGAAACAGACUACGAGCUUGUAUUAGAAGACGGGGCUCACAGUUUGAGCAGGACUUAAAAUAAUGUACCUAGAUAAAAUUAGGUGAUACAAUUAUUAUUAAAAUACUAAGUUUUUCAUUUAUUGAGACCCAAGAACAGUUGUUAGUGUGACUUUUUUAUUUAUUUUUUUUUUAUGAAAGUAUCUUACUAGACGUUUAAAUUCAAAUAAAAAAAUAAUUAUGUAGUGUUUGUUAAACACCUGUACCUUUUUGAAUAGCUAAUGAAUCAAGGAACUAAAUUCUGUAAUUUGUACACAACAUUCCAUACAUUUUUUCUUGGAAAUUCUUCGUUUAAUUACCUAAAACAUAUUUUUUUUGCAAAAUAAUACAUGGUUUUUUAGCUUUUACUUGAGUAAUGACGAUUCUUUCUUGCAAAUUUUAAUUUAAAAUGUCAAUCUUAUUAUUUAGCUAUACGAAUACAACAAAAAAGUUAACAUUAUUCCGUAUUCUUCAUUACAAGGGUACAUUUUAACAUAAAAACUGGAGAUUUUUUAAAAAAUACUUAAAUCUUGAAUAACUUGGAAAUGAACAAGUUUCGGACAUGGUGUCAUAUGACUUAAAUGACUGCAAAUAAGCUCUACUUUAACCCCUUUCAAGGAAUGUAUCGCUUUACCUGUCACCCUGUAUAAUCAUUGUAGUAACUCAAAGGCGUUUGCUUGUGAUCAAAAUGUUAGUUUUAGAGAUUGUAAAUUAUACUUAGAUCCUACUUUGCAGCUUUAUAAUUUUAUUAUAAUGUUAAUCAUUAUCAUUACCUGAUGUCAGAACAAUUUUUGCGCUCCUAGCGUGUUGUAUUUUAUAUUAAUCUAUUUAUAUUUACUAUUUAUACAUGUUAAGUAUAUUAUUGUUUAAAAUUGCAUGCAUUGUAUUUUUGCCCAACUAGUUCAGUAAUGCGAUUUUCAUACAUAAAUGUGAGACAAUAAAGUCUUUAUAGACAUAAUUUUGGGCAGAAUUACAGUGGAUGUGUGCAAUGACUAUUUAUUAUAUUCUAUACAUGUUUUAUGACGAUAGCGAUAAAAAUCCGUUUAUUUAUAAAUCAUAAAACUGACUUAAAACUGUUUUAACUAAACGCGUUUGCGUUUUUUUAUCUUAGUGAAAUCAAUACUUGCCAAAAAGCGACGAAGCAUUUAUGAGAUAAAACGAUGUUAUAUUAUGUUUAAAAGUUCAUGGUCUUAAAAAACGCUAAUUUGCAGGAACCUUCAAAUUUAUGUCGUCAUAAAACUGAAGUAUAGAGCCCUUGCCCCAUAACAAUACGAAGGAAAACAGUUGGCGUAGUCAACUCAUACCCAAUCUUGCUUUAGCUAACUCAGAUUUAAUUAUCAUAUCGAUCGAGAUGAUCGUAUUGUAAUGUUCUGAAUCGCUUGCCUCAACACAAAAUAUCCAUGUUUUUCUCGCUUAUAAAAACGAAUUCUUUCUUUCUUACCGAGCGUCGUACAUUGCCACGACGGCAAAUGCAAACCACCUCUUACGGGACUUAUCCCACCACACUUUCCCACCACUGCCACUCCUGUAUAGCCAGGAUCUACAGCUUGGUCUCGAUUGAAAUCCAACCAGUGAAGGUUUUAAGCUGUGACCAGUGAGGGUUGGAUGAACACCACUUGAACUCAACCCUACAGGGCAAAUAUAUACCAUCCUAGACUGCAUCCUACUUAACAUCAGGUGCGAUCGUGCCUUUUUAUGCAUAAAAAAAACCUGUCGAUUUUCCCCAAUAUAUCCGACUUUAUAACUUUAGUUUAAGGUUCAAAGUUAAUUGAGUUUGCCGAGUGCCAACUGCCUUCGUUCGUGUUGUAAGUUUGUAUGUAUUAUUGUACGUGGUUUAUGUGUUAUGGACAUCGGAACUGAUAUGGGUAUCUAUUGUUGUGAUAUUUGUACACCUAUACCGGCUCUAGCUGCGGGUGGAGAUUUCACUAGACGUGGAUUAAAUAGUUUGUCAUAUUUUAAUGUACAA